GCAAAACGCGAAGAACCUUACCAGGGCUUAAAUGGGAGAUGAAUAAUUUGGAAACAGAUUAGCCUUCGGGCAUCUUUCAAGGUGCUGCAUGGCUGUCGUCAGCUCGUGCCGUGAGGUGUUGGGUUAAGUCCCGCAACGAGUGCAACCCCUAUCUUUAGUUGCCAGCGAGUUAAGUCGGGGACGUCUAAAGAAACUGCCUACGCAAGCAGAGAGGAAGGCGGGGACGGACGUCAAGUCAUCACGGCCCGUUACCGUCCUGGGCCACACACGUGCUACAAUGGUUGGUACAGAGGGCAGCUACCGGGUGACCGGAUGCGAAUUUCUAAAGCCAAUCUCAGUUCGGAUUGGAGUCUGCAACUCGACUCUAUGAAGCUGGAAUCGCUAGUAAUCGCGCAUCAGCCAUGGCGCGGUGAAUACGUUCCCGGGUCUUGUACACACCG
rnacentral:rRNA from 1 species